GAUGAAGAACGUAGCGAAAUGCGAUAAGUAGUGUGAAUUGCAGAAUUUAGUGAAUCAUCGAAUCUUUGAACGCACAUUGCGCCCUUUGGUAUUCCUUAGGGCAUGCCUGUUCGAGCGUCAUCUACACCCUCAAGCACAGCUUGGUGAUGGGCGCCUGUCCCGCCCCCCACGGGGGCGCGGACUCGCCUCAAAUGCAUUGGCGGCCGGCGACCUGGCUUCGAGCGCAGCAGAAACGCGUACUCGGGGACCGGGCGCCCGCUCCCAGAAGCCAACCCACCCAGUUUGACCUCGGAUCAGGUAGGGAUACCCGCUGAACUUAAGCAUAUCAAUAAGCGGAGG
rnacentral:misc_RNA from 1 species